rnacentral:rRNA from 1 species
UUGAACGCUGGCGGCAGGCCUAACACAUGCAAGUCGAGCGCGAAAGUUCUUCGGAAUGAGUAAAGCGGCGGACGGGUGAGUAACGCGUGGGAAUCUGCCUAGUAGUGGGGGACAACAGCCGGAAACGGCUGCUAAUACCGCAUACGCCCUACGGGGGAAAGGGGGGGAUCUUCGGACCUCUCGCUAUUAGAUGAGCCCGCGGCGGAUUAGCUAGUUGGUAGGGUAAAGGCCUACCAAGGCUACGAGCCGUAACUGGUCUGGGAGGAUGAUCAGUCACACUGGAACUGAGAGACGGUCCAGACUCCUACGGGAGGAAGCAGUGGGGAAUAUUGGACAAUGGGGGCAACCCUGAUCCAGCCAUGCCGCGUGUGUGAAGAAGGCCUUAGGGUUGUAAAGCACUUUCAGUGGGGAGAAAGGUUUGUCACCUAAUACGUGAUGAAAUUGAUGUUACCCACAGAAGAAGCACCGGCUAACUCCGUGCCAGCAGCCGCCGUAA